rnacentral:rRNA from 1 species
UUGAACGCUGGCGGCAGGCCUAACACAUGCAAGUCGAGCGCGAAAGGUUUUCGGACUGAGUAAAGCGGCGGACGGGUGAGUAACGCGUGGGAAUCUGCCCAGUAGUGGGGGACAACAGUCGGAAACGACUGCUAAUACCGCAUACGCCCUACGGGGGAAAGGGGGGGAUCUUCGGACCCCUCGCUAUUGGAUGAGCCCGCGUCGGAUUAGCUAGUUGGUAGGGUAAAGGCCUACCAAGGCUACGAUCCGUAACUGGUCUGAGAGGAUGAUCAGUCACACUGGAACUGAGACACGGUCCAGACUCCUACGGGAGGCAGCAGUGGGGAAUAUUGGACAAUGGGGGCAACCCUGAUCCAGCCAUGCCGCGUGUGUGAAGAAGGCCUUAGGGUUGUAAAGCACUUUCAGUGGGGAGAAAGGUUGUUUACUUAAUACGUAAAUAAAUUGAUGUUACCCACAGAAGAAGCACCGGCUAACUCCGUGCCAGCAGCCGCGGUAA